UCUCAUAAAAAGUUCCCAUUUGUUCUAUGCAGAAAUGAGCACAAUUUAGAAAUAGAAUGACCCUGACAGGAAAAAAUCAAUAAGCCCCUGAAUACUACAUUUCCUUGAAAUAUAACACUCUUUUCUCUUCUUUCUAACAUAGUGAUGGACUGUGUACAUGUUAUGAAUUCAUAACAUUGCAUAUUUUAUUAAAUUACUCUUUUAAUAUCUGGACUUGGGAAAAUUCACACCACAAACACCUCUUGUUGAUGUUUCUAUUCUUAAGCAAAUUAAAAUAUCUUUAUCAAUUUAUAUCUUUAUCAAUAAAUAUCAAUUUAUUUACUAACUUCUGCAAGUAUAAAUGCAUUCUCCUGACACUCCUGAGUCUGCUCACAUUAAAACAUAUGUGUGAGUUAAUACUGCAUUGUGUUCAUUUUUUCUCAUUCUUAUUUUUUCUAUAGGUAUUUCUCCCUAAGCUGAUAUAGAAACAAUAUUUAAUGUCUUCUUCUUUCAGAAAAAUAAUAGUGAUGGGUUAUCCGAAUCCUGCAAAUUGUGCCAUUGACAACUUCUCUGAAUUUCAAUCCCUUUCCAAAUGCAAAAACCUUGAAAAUCCAAUUAGAACUAGAGAUGAUGCUACAUUGAUCUCAAUUAUGAGAGAUAGGCCUAGAAGAUAUCUAUUCUUCACUAUCCAGCUCAACAAUGACUAAUGAAUGCCAUACGCAUGCUUGCAACAAGUGUAAACUCCUUACUUCAGACAAAGGAAAAUGAACGAUGCACAUCACUUAAAGGUCUUGGAGCACAGAAAUUGAUAUCGUCUCUUUGAACAGAUAAGGUGAGUAGACUUUUAGUAAUAUAUGAAGUAAUGAUAUCAUGUUAGAUGUGUUAUUUUUUAAUGUGUCUUAGGGAAACAUGGGUCUGCAAUCUUUGUGUUACCAAAGCAUGGAAUGUAGUGGAAAACUUACUGUUUUCUGUCUGGUAUGCUUUUGACCUUCUUCUAAUAACAGUGUCUUGAUUUUCUGCUGCAGAAUGACCAUGGCCUCACUUUAAUUUCCUGGGUUAUAGAUGGGUACAUCCUGUUCCCAUACCCAAAGCUGUGUGUGAUAGAGAUUUGACUAUUCUCUGUGUAUUGUGAGUAUGUGUCCUGAGUGAAAAUACAGGAUCUUAGUAAAGGACUGUUUUUACUGGGCCCAUUAGGGAAAUAGCUUUAAUUUUUUUUAAUGUUUUUAUUUAUUUUUGA